rnacentral:rRNA from 1 species
UACGUAGGGUGCAAGCGUUAAUCGGAAUUACUGGGCGUAAAGCGUGCGCAGGCGGCUUUGCAAGACAGAUGUGAAAUCCCCGGGCUUAACCUGGGAACUGCAUUUGUGACUGCAUGGCUGGAGUGCGGCAGAGGGGGAUGGAAUUCCGCGUGUAGCAGUGAAAUGCGUAGAUAUGCGGAGGAACACCGAUGGCGAAGGCGGCAUCCUGGACCGAGAUUGACGCUGAUGCGCGAAAGCCAGGGGAGCAAACGGG